AUGAUUUGGAAAGACUCACACCUGCCUAUAUAAGAUCCCACAGUUAACAGUGUAUAUCAGAGCAAAAACUAAGCCAUGAGGUCGAAGGAAUUGUCCCCAGAGCUCUGAGACAGGAUAGUGUAGAGGCACAGAUCUGGGAAAGGGUACCAAAACAUUUCUGCAGCAUUGAAGGUUCCCAAGAACACAGUGGCCUCCAUCAUUCUUAAAUGGAAGAAGUUUGGAAUCACCAAGACUCUUCCUAGAGCUGGCUGCCCAGCAGAGCCUUGGUCGGGAGGUGACCAAGUACCUGAUGGUCACUGACAGAGCUCCAGAUUUCCUCUGUGGAGAUGGGAGAACUUUCCAGAAGGACAACCAUCUCUGCAGCACUCCACCAAUCAGGUCUUUAUGGUAGUGACCAGAUGGAAGCCACUCCUCAGUACAAGGCACAUGACAACCCGCUUGCAGUUUGCCAAAAGGCACCUAAAGGAGAAACAAGAUUCUCUGGUCUGAUGAAACCAAGAUUGAACUCUUUGACCUGAAUGCAAAGCGUCACAUCUGGAUGAAACCUGUUACCAACGGUGAAGCAUGGUGGUGGCAGCAUCACUACGGUGAAGCAUGGUGGUGGCAGCAUCACUACGGUGAAGCAUGGUGGUGGCAGCAUCACUACGGUGAAGCAUGGUGGAGGCAGCAUCACUACGGUGAAGCAUGGUGGUGGCAGCAUCACAACGGUGAAGCAUGGUGGUGGCAGCAUCACUAUGGUGAAGCAUGGUGGUGGCAGCAUCACUACGGUGAAGCAUGGUGGUGGCAGCAUCACUACGGUGAAGCAUGGUGGUGGCAGCAUCACAACAGUGAAGCAUGGUGGUGGCAGCAUCACUACGGUGAAGCAUGGUGGUGGCAGCAUCACUACGGUGAAGCAUGGUGGUGGCAGCAUCACAACGGUUAAGCAUGGUGGUGGCAGCAUCAUGCUGUGGGGAUGUUUUUCAGUGGCAGGGACUGGGAGACUAGUCAGGAUCGAGAGAAAGAUGAACGGAGCAAAGUACAGAGAGAUCCUUGAUGAAAACCUGCUCCAGAGCAUUCAGGACCUCAGACUGAGGUGAAGGUUCACCUUUCAACAGGACAACGACCCUGAGGACACAGACAAAACAAUGCAGGAGUGGCUUCGGGACAAGUCUCUGAAUGUCCUUUAGUGGCCCAGCCAGAGACCAAAAUUGAACCCGAUCCAACAUCUCUGGAGAGACCUGAAAAUAGCUGUGCAGCGACGCUCCCUAUCCAAUCUGACGGAGCUUGAGGGGAUCUGCAGAGAAGAAUGGGAGAAACACCCCCAAUACAGGUGUACCAAGCUUGUAGCGUCUUACUCAAAACGACUCGAGGCUGUAAUCACUGCCAAAGGUGCUUCAACAAAGUACUGAGUAAAGGGUCUGAAUAUUAAUGGAAAUGUGAUAUUUUAGUGUUUUUAAAUGUAUACAUUUGCAAUAAAAAAUGAAAACAUUAUUUUGCUUUGUCGUUAUGUGGUAUUGUGUGUGUCCAUGUUAGAGUAAGGCUGUAAUGUAAAAUAAUGUGGAAAAAGUCAAGAGGUCAGAAUACUUUCUGAAUGUACUGUAUAUGAUCUAUAGUUAUUCAAUGAAGAUGAUGUUUAUAAAACACUGCAAGGAAAACACACAAAAAAUACUGUAAAUGAAGGUAAAUCAUGUCUUUAAGGUACGUGAUCAUGUCUUUAAGGUACGGUGAUCAUGUCUUUAAGGUACGGUGAUCAUGUCUUUAAGGUACGGUGAUCAUGUCUUUAAGGUACGGUGAUCAUGUCUUUAAGGUACGGUGAUCAGGUCUUUAAGGUACGGUGAUCAUGUCUUUAAGGUACGGUGAUCAUGUCUUUAAGGUACGGUGAUCAUGUCUUUAAGGUACGGUGAUCAGGUCUUUAAGGUACGGUGAUCAUGUCUUUAAGGUACGGUGAUCAGGUCUUUAAGGUACGGUGAUCAGGUCUUUAAGGUACGGUGAUCAUGUCUUUAAGGUACGGUGAUCAGGUCUUUAAGGUACGGUGAUCAUGUCUUUAAGGUACGGUGAUCAUGUCUUUAAGGUACGGUGAUCAGGUCUUUAAGGUACGGUGAUCAGGUCUUUAAGGUACGGUGAUCAUGUCUUUAAGGUACGGUGAUCAUGUCUUUAAGGUACGGUGAUCAUGUCUUUAAGGUACGGUGAUCAUGUCUUUAAGGUACGGUGAUCAUGUCUUUAAGGUACGGUGAUCAUGUCUUUAAGGUACGGUGAUCAUGUCUUUAAGGUACGGUGAUCAUGUCUUUAAGGUACGGUGAUCAUGUCUUUAAGGUACGGUGAUCAUGUCUUUAAGGUACGGUGAUCAUGUCUUUAAGGUACGGUGAUCAUGUCUUUAAGGUACGGUGAUCAUGUCUUUAAGGUACGGUGAUCAUGUCUUUAAGGUACGGUGAUCAUGUCUUUAAGGUACGGUGAUCAUGUCUUUAAGGUACGGUGAUCAUGUCUUUAAGGUACGGUGAUCAUGUCUUUAAGGUACGGUGAUCAUGUCUUUAAGGUACGGUGAUCAUGUCUUUAAGGUACGGUGAUCAUGUCUUUAAGGUACGGUGAUCAUGUCUUUAAGGUACGGUGAUCAGGUCUUUAAGGUACGGUGAUCAUGUCUUUAAGGUACGGUGAUCAUGUCUUUAAGGUACGGUGAUCAUGUCUUUAAGGUACGGUGAUCAUGUCUUUAAGGUACGGUGAUCAGGUCUUUAAGGUACGGUGAUCAGGUCUUUAAGGUACGGUGAUCAUGUCUUUAAGGUACGGUGAUCAGGUCUUUAAGGUACGGUGAUCAUGUCUUUAAGGUACGGUGAUCAUGUCUUUAAGGUACGGUGAUCAUGUCUUUAAGGUACGGUGAUCAUGUCUUUAAGGUACGGUGAUCAUGUCUUUAAGGUACGGUGAUCAGGUCUUUAAGGUACGGUGAUCAUGUCUUUAAGGUACGGUGAUCAUGUCUUUAAGGUACGGUGAUCAUGUCUUUAAGGUACGGUGAUCAUGUCUUUAAGGUACGGUGAUCAUGUCUUUAAGGUACGGUGAUCAUGUCUUUAAGGUACGGUGAUCAUGUCUUUAAGGUACGGUGAUCAUGUCUUUAAGGUACGGUGAUCAUGUCUUUAAGGUACGGUGAUCAUGUCUUUAAGGUACGGUGAUCAUGUCUUUAAGGUACGGUGAUCAUGUCUUUAAGGUACGGUGAUCAUGU